rnacentral:lncRNA from 11 species
GAAAGAAGGGCUCCCUACUUCUCUAUCCCACAAUUAAGCUUGGAAAGGCCUUUGCAACUGAUCAGAAAUCUGCGCUAUGGGAUGCGUCGUCGCUCGCUGCCAAUUUCCGGUCUCCGUGGCAACUCGCAAUCUCGAAAUGCCCUGGGCUCUUGCCCUCUGAAAGCAGAGAUGUGCAAAUACUGAGCAAAAAGAGAGAAAAACUAUGAUGUGAAAGCAAAGGGAAGUGGGAAACCAACCCCAGAGGGCCGGAGAAAGACCCAACGUGCCCGUAGACAGGGCCUGAAGGUCUGAAUGUCAUCGGCAUCCUCCCUCCAAGACUGUAUCCAGGAACGAGCCGGGAGAGGGACCUGAUAAACACAAGGUUGCAAAAUGCAAGAGGUCAAUGGAAUUUCCAGCCAUAAGCACUUUCUCAAGCCGUAAAUUUUAAAUAGCAGUCUUCGGAGCCAGGAAACCUGAGCCAGGUCUGCGAGAUAUAUUGUGUCGGGAGCAAGCAAGGUCAGAAUCCGGACUCCAGGCCCGUUCCCACCUUGUCUUCAUUAAUGCUGUGUGUGCCCUCCAAUUGCGCACAGGCUUGCCUUUGCAGACUAAGAAUCAGCCUGAACUUGGUAACAUAACCUCAAGGCCAGAAGCAAGGAGCGGACCGUAUAUCUUCCUUGUCAGAUCCCGUUUCUGGCCCUCAUCCAUUGCGGAUCACUUGGCGCUUCCUUGGCAAGCCAUGAAGGGACCUGGACUGUUCUCCACGGACCCGUUGGCUUCUGCCUACUGGCCAUCCGUCACUAUUGGCAACUCUUUCAACUCUAGUCUGCGCCUCGUUUUUAUUGCAAUUCCCUUUUCCUUAUGAUCUUGAC